AGUAGUCAUAUGCUUGUCUCAAAGAUUAAGCCAUGCAUGUCUAAGUAUAAGCAAUUUAUACAGUGAAACUGCGAAUGGCUCAUUAAAUCAGUUAUCGUUUAUUUGAUAGUUCCUUUACUACAUGGUAUAACUGUGGUAAUUCUAGAGAUAAUACAUGCUUAAAAUCUCGACCCUUUGGAAGAGAUGUAUUUAUUAGAUAAAAAAUCAAUGUCUUCGGACUCUUUGAUGAUUCAUAAUAACUUUUCGAAUCGCAUGGCCUUGUGCUGGCGAUGGUUCAUUCAAAUUUCUGCCCUAUCAACUUUCGAUGGUAGGAUAGUGGCCUACCAUGGUUUCAACGGGUAACGGGGAAUAAGGGUUCGAUUCCGGAGAGGGAGCCUGAGAAACGGCUACCACAUCCAAGGAAGGCAGCAGGCGCGCAAAUUACCCAAUCCUAAUUCAGGGAGGUAGUGACAAUAAAUAACGAUACAGGGCCCAUUCGGGUCUUGUAAUUGGAAUGAGUACAAUGUAAAUACCUUAA
rnacentral:rRNA from 1 species